rnacentral:rRNA from 1 species
GAUGAACGCUGGCGGCGUGCCUAAUACAUGCAAGUCGAGCGAACGGACGAGAAGCUUGCUUCUCUGAUGUUAGCGGCGGACGGGUGAGUAACACGUGGAUAACCUACCUAUAAGACUGGGAUAACUUCGGGAAACCGGAGCUAAUACCGGAUAAUAUUUUGAACCGCAUGGUUCAAAAGUGAAAGACGGUCUUGCUGUCACUUAUAGAUGGAUCCGCGCUGCAUUAGCUAGUUGGUAAGGUAACGGCUUACCAAGGCAACGAUGCGUAGCCGACCUGAGAGGGUGAUCGGCCACACUGGAACUGAGACACGGUCCAGACUCCUACGGGAGGCAGCAGUAGGGAAUCUUCCGCAAUGGGCGAAAGCCUGACGGAGCAACGCCGCGUGAGUGAUGAAGGUCUUCGGAUCGUAAAACUCUGUUAUUAGGGAAGAACAAAUGUGUAAGUAACUAUGCACGUCUUGACGGUACCUAAUCAGAAAGCCACGGCUAACUACGUGCCAGCAGCCGCGGUAAUACGUAGGUGGCAAGCGUUAUCCGGAAUUUAUGGGCGUAAAGCGCGCGUAGGCGGUUUUUUAAGUCUGAUGUGAAAGCCCACGGCUCAACCGUGGAGGGUCAUUGGAAACUGGAAAACUUGAGUGCAGAAGAGGAAAGUGGAAUUCCAUGUGUAGCGGUGAAAUGCGCAGAGAUAUGGAGGAACACCAGUGGCGAAGGCGACUUUCUGGUCUGUAACUGACGCUGAUGUGCGAAAGCGUGGGGAUCAAACAGGAUUAGAUACCCUGGUAGUCCACGCCGUAAACGAUGAGUGCUAAGUGUUAGGGGGUUUCCGCCCCUUAGUGCUGCAGCUAACGCAUUAAGCACUCCGCCUGGGGAGUACGACCGCAAGGUUGAAACUCAAAGGAAUUGACGGGGACCCGCACAAGCGGUGGAGCAUGUGGUUUAAUUCGAAGCAACGCGAAGAACCUUACCAAAUCUUGACAUCCUCUGACCCCUCUAGAGAUAGAGUUUUCCCCUUCGGGGGACAGAGUGACAGGUGGUGCAUGGUUGUCGUCAGCUCGUGUCGUGAGAUGUUGGGUUAAGUCCCGCAACGAGCGCAACCCUUAAGCUUAGUUGCCAUCAUCAAGUUGGGCACUCUAAGUUGACUGCCGGUGACAAACCGGAGGAAGGUGGGGAUGACGUCAAAUCAUCAUGCCCCUUAUGAUUUGGGCUACACACGUGCUACAAUGGACAAUACAAAGGGUAGCGAAACCGCGAGGUCAAGCAAAUCCCAUAAAGUUGUUCUCAGUUCGGAUUGUAGUCUGCAACUCGACUACAUGAAGCUGGAAUCGCUAGUAAUCGUAGAUCAGCAUGCUACGGUGAAUACGUUCCCGGGUCU